CCAGACUCCUACGGGAGGCAGCAGUGGGGAAUAUUGGGCAAUGGGCGCAAGCCUGACCCAGCAACGCCGCGUGAAGGAAGAAGGCUUUCGGGUUGUAAACUUCUUUUCUCAGGGACGAAGAAAGUGACGGUACCUGAGGAAUAAGCCACGGCUAACUACGUGCCAGCAGCCGCGGUAAUACGUAGGUGGCAAGCGUUAUCCGGAUUUACUGGGUGUAAAGGGAGCGUAGACGGCCAUGCAAGCUCGGUGUGAAAGGUGCGGGCACAACCCGCAGACUGCACUGAGAACUGUAUGGCUGGAGUGCCGGAGGGGCAGGCGGAAUUCCUGGUGUAGCGGUGAAAUGCGUAGAUAUCAGGAGGAACACCGGUGGCGAAGGCGGCCUGCUGGACGGCGACUGACGUUGAGGCUCGAAAGCGUGGGGAGCGAACAGGAUUAGAUACCCCAGUA
rnacentral:rRNA from 1 species